GCGCUUUUUGAGGUCCACAACUGUAGGUCCCAGACGAACUCGAAUUAUAUGAAUUAGUCAGAGAAACAAAGGCAAAGAAAGCAAGAAGUUUGGGAAAAUUCAUUAUUAAAAGACUUUAAAUGAAUACAAACACUUGACUUACAGAUGAAUAGAAAUAGGACGAGGAGGGUCCUAAAUUUUUUAGCCUAAAGGAUCACCCCGUACAACAUAAAUAAUACUUCGUAACUCCCUCAAAAUGGGGUGUUACUUGUAUUAUUCAGCGGGCACAGACUAUCAUCUCCUGCUACCCGAUUACUAUCUUUAAGUUUUUACCUAAGCGCACUAGUUGAUUCUAAACCGUGCCUUAUGCGUGCACUACCCGUCCCAUGCCUAUGACCCAGGAGGCUUUGAACCUACUAUUUGAUAGUUCUAGACUGAACUCAGUUUCUCAAAAUGAUAAAACUAAGCGACAAUCAAAAACAGAUAGGACUGCACGUAAUUACAAUAAAGGGGGCUCAAGUAACCUCCACACAUAAGCAGGAAAAGCACGCAAACAGUUUUCUAGUUAGGCAAUAUAUGGUAUUAAGACAUGUUGGAAUCGUUAAGUCUUAUAGACAUGAUUUCUAUGUGAUUUUGGAUUUCAAUAUUAUAUAGGCAAUGCUGUAAUUCUGACGUGUAGACAAAUUAGAGUGCUGCAAGUCCUAUAGAUGUGAUAUCUAAUCAUUUGUGUAAAUAGGCAGUGAAGUCUCAAUAAACAUCCUCUGGCAGAUUUUCUAGUGAUUGACAAUUGGGAUUGAUUUUAAACGUUUUAUCCCUAUAAGCAUGCUUUAUAGGCGGGUGAUAAUAUCCCAUAAGCAGGGUUCAAAUAGUUAAGACUUGGGGCCUAUUUUAUUGCUAUACUUAGUCCUAUAGGCAUGAUUUCUAGUGAACAGUGCAAGACAAUAGAAAAUGAAGUGAUCAAAAUCCUAUAGGCAUGAUUGCUAGUGAAUAUGCUGAGGCGAAUUGAAAGAUAGUUCAUUGACAUUCAUUCUAUUGGCAGGUUUUCUAGCAACACAUAACAGUAAGAACAAUUGCAACAUUUGAAUUCAUGUUUGCUAACAGGUAGUGUACAUGUGUGUGCUUCCCCUAAUGACAUGAUUUCUACAGUGCACAUAUAGAUCGAACAACACAUAUAACAAGUGAAUCAAUGAGUCCUAUAGGCAUAUUAUCUACCCCUUUUCAUGCAAACAUUAAGAAUCUAUCUGUUCCCCGUUUUUACUAACCCCCAGUUGUUCAUUACAACAUUAUUACAGGCCCAAUAAUAAACAUAAUUACAAGUAUUGUAUAAAUAAUGACGGUAGGCCCAAAAGAAAACACCCAGCAUUGCAUGGGCCUUCAAUAACUCUCACGCAGCAUACCCAUGAACCAUAUUCAUCAGCACAACCUAGAAUCCAUAGAGGAACUUAAGCUAGAUCACACAACCAUAGAUUGACCAACCAAUUUACAUAUUUAGUAGCCCAUAGGAAGAAAGAGUUGAGUGUGAGGAAUAGUGUAUGUCUCAGUAGUAGAGGGAAUGACUAAAGGACCCUAAAUCCCAGUGUGUCAGAGUUCACAAGGGUCUCAAAUGGACCCCGAGCAGUGCUCACACUAGGGAGGUCAGUAGUAAGAGCCUUGGUGGCCUUGGCUUUUAGCUGGCCAAGAACGAUAGGUUCAGAAUAGCAUAGGUAACAAAUGAAAGAUAGUGGACAUUGAUUAAGGGGCAGAAGUUGAGAACAUAGAGCAACUAAGCAAACAGGUCACAAGACUUAGAAUAAGGUUCAACAAAACUCAAAAGCAAGUUCAACAGGAUUUCAACACUUAGUAAAGCAAUACAUAGCAACCACAUAUUGAAAGAGUUAGGGGAGAAACAUAUUUACAAGAUUGACAGAAGUUAUCAUGCUCAAAUACACAAUACCAAACAAGUUGAAAACCUAAGAGGUCCAAAUUAUGCUAGGUAUACAUCUUAGUGGCACAAGAGAGACAUGUUAACUUUCAUCAGGAAGCAAGACUGCAAAGAGACAUGAUAGGGAGCACACGUUAUGACAAAUUAGGUAGCCGCUGAAGGAAUCAGGGAAUUAGGUAAGCCAAAGACAUACCGAGGGACAUAUUAGUAGGGAAAUAAGAUCAUAGAAAGGUUCUUAUCACAGAUUAAACACAUUAUAUAUGCAAGACAAACAUUAUAGAGAUUCAAAACAGAGUGGAAAAUAGCUCAUGUCAAAUAGUACAUAUAGGUGUUCUAGCAUUGUCGCAGUAGAGUAAUUAACUAAAGAAGGUUCAAGUUAUGUCAUGAAACAAAAUAGCUCAAACAUGAUAAGGAAAAUAGGUUGUAGUAGCCGUUAAUAACUAAGUCAAUCACUAAUGGGGUAUGCUAAAUGACAAAGCAACCGGGAAAUAUGUCAUAGGUAACACAGGUCAUUACAAACAUGAAGAAUUCAUUAUAGAGAUUCAGGGCAAAGCAAGUAAGCAUGUUCAGGAACACUUAGGCACUAAUACACUGGUUAAACGAACUUAAGAGGGUCAGAUUAUCUAGGUUAGACUUAGACAAAAGACUAGCAUCAUUAGGAGAAAGUUAAGUGCGGAGAGACUUAAACAAGUGUAAAGUUGGCAGAAUCAAGCAUAAAGGUAACCUAGAAGCAUAUUAAGCCAUGAGUCAAAGACACAUAAGGAUGAAAUUGCAAAAGUCCAGUGGCUUACCAGUUAAACGGAUAACAAUAAAGAACAAAAGAUCCACAAGAACUCAGAAAUCUCGAUGCGUCAAAGUUCCCAAGAGCUUCAAAAGAACCUCGGGCAAUGCUCGCACCAAAAGAAAGUUCGAACAGUAGACCCUCGGUGGCAUUGACUUUCAGCCGACCAAAACAAAGCACAGAACAAGAUAAUGAAGGAACCAUAGAACAAAGCUUCAAAUUUUAGUGAGAUUAUAGCGAUUCCCCUCUAUCCUCAAGGGGAAUGGGGAGGGGUUUAUAUAGUAGCAGAAAUUGAACAAGUAAACAAGGAAAACUGUAAAAUCAAACAUAAAUAAGGAUGUAAUAACAUACAGAAUCAAAUAAAAAUCGGAUUGGGGAAAAAAUAGGUAAACCCUAGUUGACAGAAAUCGAAGAUUGACUGGAAAUCUUGGCUAAUCGGACCCAUAUAGCCAUGGUCAUGAUAUAUAUGGACUAAAUAUUGUCCAGAUUCAAACGGUUAAAGUGUAAUGGCCGAAUUCUGAGAGAUAGUACUUUCCAUGUUUAGGCAAGUACUAGGUGAGACCAUAGAUUUGUAGAAAAUAGCGAGAUAACAUACAAAAGGCAAGAAUAUUAUUGAAAGAAUCCAUGGUUGAGACGAAUUUGGAGAGGUUUGAGAAGGUGGCUAGGGUUUCUGGGGGAGGGAGGAGUGUUUAAGGGUGGC
rnacentral:lncRNA from 1 species